CAGUAGCGUAUAUUUAAGUUGUUGCAGUUAAAAAGCUCGUAGUCGGAUUUUGGCUGAGAACGAUCGGUCCGCCGUUAGGUGUGCACUGAUUGGUCUCAGCUUCCUGGUGAGGAGGUGUGCUUCACGGCCACUUAGUCACCGUGGUUACUUUGAAAAAAUUAGAGUGUUCAAAGCGGGCUUACGCUUGAAUAUAUUAGCAUGGAAUAACACCAUAGGACUCCUGUCCUAUUUCGUUGGUCACGGGACGGGAGUAAUGAUUAAGAGGAACAGUUGGGGGCAUUCGUAUUUCAUUGUCAGAGGUGAAAUUCUUGGAUUUAUGAAAGACGAACUUCUGCGAAAGCAUUUGCCAAGGAUGUUUUCAUUGA
rnacentral:rRNA from 1 species